AUGAACGCUGGCGGCGUGCCUAAUACAUGCAAGUCGCGCGAACGGACGAGAAGCUUGCUUCUCUGAUGUUAGCGGCGGACGGGUGAGUAACACGUGGAUAACCUACCUAUAAGACUGGGAUAACUUCGGGAAACUGGAGCUAAUACCGGAUAAUAUUUUGAACCGCAUGGUUCAAAAGUGAAAGACGGUCUUGCUGUCACUUAUAGAUGGAUCCGCGCUGCAUUAGCUAGUUGGUAAGGUAACGGCUUACCAAGGCAACGAUGCAUAGCCGACCUGAGAGGGUGAUCGGCCACACUGGAACUGAGACACGGUCCAGACUCCUACGGGAGGCAGCAGUAGGGAAUCUUCCGCAAUGGGCGAAAGCCUGACGGAGCAACGCCGCGUGAGUGAUGAAGGUCUUCGGAUCGUAAAACUCUGUUAUUAGGGAAGAACAUAUGUGUAAGUAACUGUGCACAUCUUGACGGUACCUAAUCAGAAAGCCACGGCUAACUACGUG
rnacentral:rRNA from 1 species